AUUGAACGCUGGCGGCAGGCUUAACACAUGCAAGUCGAGCGGGCGAGGUUGCUUCGGUAACUGAGCUAGCGGCGGACGGGUGAGUAAAGCUUAGGAAUCUGCCUAUUAGUGGGGGACAACAUUCCGAAAGGGAUGCUAAUACCGCAUACGCCCUACGGGGGAAAGCAGGGGAUCUUCGGACCUUGCGCUAAAUGAUGAGCCUAAGUCGGAUUAGCUAGUUGGUGGGGUAAAGGCCUACCAAGGCGACGAUCUGUAGCGGGUCUGAGAGGAUGAUCCGCCACACUGGGACUGAGACACGGCCCAGACUCCUACGGGAGGCAGCAGUGGGGAAUAUUGGACAAUGGGGGGAACCCUGAUCCAGCCAUGCCGCGUGUGUGAAGAAGGCCUUUUGGUUGUAAAGCACUUUAAGUGGGGAGGAGGCUCUCUUGGUUAAUACCUGAGAAGAGUGGACGUUACCCACAGAAUAAGCACCGGCUAACUCUGUGCCAGCCGCCGCAGUAAAAC
rnacentral:rRNA from 1 species